rnacentral:rRNA from 1 species
GACGUAGGAGGCAAGCGUUGUCCGGAGUGACUGGGCGUAAAGCGCACGCAGGCGGUCCAGCGCGUUUGAGGUUACAGCUCCCGGCUUCACUGGGAGAGCGCCUUGAAGACGGCUGGACUCAGAGGACCAGAGAGGGACAGAGAAUUCCGGGUGGAGUGGUGAAAUGCGUAGAGAUCCGGAGGAAUACCGAAGGCGAAGGCCCUGUCCUGGCUGGCUCCUGACGCUCAGGUGCGAAAGCUAGGGGA